GUACACUCCUACGGGAGGCAGCAGUGGGGAAUAUUGCACAAUGGGCGCAAGCCUGAUGCAGCGACGCCGCGUGGGGGAUGAAGGCCUUCGGGUUGUAAACUCCUUUCGCUAGGGACGAAGCUUUUUUGUGACGGUACCUAGAUAAGAAGCACCGGCUAACUACGUGCCAGCAGCCGCGGUAAUACGUAGGGUGCGAGCGUUGUCCGGAAUUACUGGGCGUAAAGGGCUCGUAGGUGGUUUGUCGCGUCGUCUGUGAAAUUCUGGGGCUUAACUCCGGGCGUGCAGGCGAUACGGGCAUAACUUGAGUGCUGUAGGGGUAACUGGAAUUCCUGGUGUAGCGGUGAAAUGCGCAGAUAUCAGGAGGAACACCGAUGGCGAAGGCAGGUUACUGGGCAGUUACUGACGCUGAGGAGCGAAAGCAUGGGUAGCGAACAGGAUUAGAUACCCUUGUAGUCCCA
rnacentral:rRNA from 1 species